UGCUCCGCAAUGGGAGAGGCCACAACAGUGAGAGGCCCGCAUAACGCAAAAAAACAAAACAAACAAACAAACAAAAAAUCUGGUUUCAACUAUACACGGAUCAUUCAUCAGUGUGGCGGCCGUGGUCUAGUCCUGCACUCUCUCCAAGGUUCAGCUUCCUGAGCAGCAAACAGGGGAUAAGAGCUCUCUCUUCAAAAGACUGGUACAAGCUGCCCACGGAGGCCCUAACUCAGCACCUUCUGAAUGAAUGGACGAAGAAGUCCAGAUUCUUCCCUGUGAGUUAUUUGUCUUCGUUGGAAAUUUGAUGGAUGGCAUCGUAUGAAAAAAACUAUUAAAAUCCUCCAAUGAAAAAUGUACAUAUCUAUUGUGAAUUCUGCACUAAAGUGGU